rnacentral:rRNA from 1 species
CCUACGGGUGGCUGCAGUGGGGAAUAUUGGACAAUGGGGGCAACCCUGAUCCAGCCAUGCCGCGUGUGUGAAGAAGGCCCUCGUGUUGUAAAGCACUUUCAGUGAGGAAGAACGCCUGGUGGUUAAUACCCAUCAGGAAAGACAUCACUCACAGAAGAAGCACCGGCUAACUCCGUGCCAGCAGCCGCGGUAAUACGGAGGGUGCGAGCGUUAAUCGGAAUUACUGGGCGUAAAGCGCGCGUAGGUGGCUUGAUAAGCCGGUUGUGAAAGCCCCGGGCUCAACCUGGGAACGGCAUCCGGAGCUGUCAAGCUAGAGUGCAGGAGAGGAAGGUAGAAUUCCCGGUGUAGCGGUGAAAUGCGUAGAGAUCGGGAGGAAUACCAGUGGCGAAGGCGGCCUUCUGGACUGACACUGACACUGAGGUGCGAAAGCGUGGGUAGCAAACAGGAUUAGAUACCCGUGUAGUC